rnacentral:rRNA from 1 species
CUACGGGUGGCACCAGUGAGGAAUAUUGCACAAUGGGGGGAACCCUGAUGCAGCAACGCCGCGUGGAGGAUGACGCAUUUCGGUGUGUAAACUCCUUUUAUAUGUCAAGAAAAUGACGGUAGCAUAUGAAUAAGCACCGGCUAACUCCGUGCCAGCAGCCGCGGUAAUACGGAGGGUGCAAGCGUUACUCGGAACCACUGGGCGUAAAGGACGCGUAGGCGGGUUGGAAAGUCAGGUGUGAAAUCCUACAGCUUAACUGUAGAACUGCACUUGAAACUUCUAAUCUAGAGUAUGGGAGGGGGAGAUGGAAUUAGUGGUGUAGGGGUAAAAUCCGUAGAUAUCACUAGGAAUACCUAAAGCGAAGGCGAUCUCCUGGAACAUUACCGACGCUAAGGCGUGAAAGCGUGGGGAGCAAACAGGAUUAGAUACCCGUGUAGUC